UCCGUAGGUGAACCUGCGGAAGGAUCAUUACCGAGUGUAGGGUUCCUAGCGAGCCCAACCUCCCACCCGUGUUUACUGUACCUUAGUUGCUUCGGCGGGCCCGCCAUUCAUGGCCGCCGGGGGCUCUCAGCCCCGGGCCCGCGCCCGCCGGAGACACCACGAACUCUGUCUGAUCUAGUGAAGUCUGAGUUGAUUGUAUCGCAAUCAGUUAAAACUUUCAACAAUGGAUCUCUUGGUUCCGGCAUCGAUGAAGAACGCAGCGAAAUGCGAUAACUAGUGUGAAUUGCAGAAUUCCGUGAAUCAUCGAGUCUUUGAACGCACAUUGCGCCCCCUGGUAUUCCGGGGGGCAUGCCUGUCCGAGCGUCAUUGCUGCCCAUCAAGCACGGCUUGUGUGUUGGGUCGUCGUCCCCUCUCCGGGGGGGACGGGCCCCAAAGGCAGCGGCGGCACCGCGUCCGAUCCUCGAGCGUAUGGGGCUUUGUCACCCGCUCUGUAGGCCCGGCCGGCGCUUGCCGAACGCAAAUCAAUCUUUUUCCAGGUGACCUCGGAUCAGGUAGGGAUACCCGCUGAACUUAAGCAUAUCAAUAAGCGGAGGAA
rnacentral:rRNA from 1 species